rnacentral:rRNA from 1 species
CCAAAAAGCGGAGGAAAAGAAACUAACAAGGAUUCCCCUAGUAACUGCGAGUGAAGCGGGAAAAGCUCAAAUUUAAAAUCUGGCGGUCUCUGGCCGUCCGAGUUGUAAUCUAGAGAAGUAAUGCCCGUGCUGGACCGUGUAUAAGUCUCCUGGGAUGGGGCGUCAUAGAGGGUGAGAAUCCCGUCUUUGACACGGACUACCAGUGCAUUGUGGUAUGCUCUCAAAGAGUCGAGUUGUUUGGGAAUGCAGCUCAAAAUGGGUGGUAAAUUCCAUCUAAAGCUAAAUAUUGGCGAGAGACCGAUAGCGAACAAGUACCGUGAGGGAAAGAUGAAAAGAACUUUGGAAAGAGAGUUAAACAGUACGUGAAAUUGCUGAAAGGGAAACGCUUGAAGUCAGUCGCGUUGGCCGGGGAUCAGCCUUGCUUUUGCAUGGUGUACUUUCUGGUUGACGGGUCAGCAUCAAUUUUGACCGCUGGAAAAAGACCUGGGGAAUGUGGCAGCUUCGGCUGUGUUAUAGCCCCUAGUCGCAUACAGUGGUUGGGAUUGAGGAACUCAGCACGCCGCAAGGCCGGGUUUCGACCACGUUCGUGCUUAGGAUGCUGGCAUAAUGGCUUUAAGCGACCCGUCUUGAAACACGGACCA